rnacentral:rRNA from 1 species
GACGAACGCUGGCUGCGUGCUUAACACAUGCAAGUCGAACGCUGAAGCCGACAGCUUGCUGUUGGUGGAUGAGUGGCGAACGGGUGAGUAACACGUGAGUAACCUGCCCCCGAUUUCGGGAUAAGCCCGGGAAACUGGGUCUAAUACCGGAUAUGACCAAUCCUCGCAUGAGGGUUGGUGGAAAGUUUUUCGAUCGGGGAUGGGCUCGCGGCCUAUCAGCUUGUUGGUGGGGUAAUGGCCUACCAAGGCGACGACGGGUAGCCGGCCUGAGAGGGCGACCGGCCACACUGGGACUGAGACACAGCCCAGACUCCUACGGGAGGCAGCAGUGGGGAAUAUUGCACAAUGGGGGAAACCCUGAUGCAGCGACGCAGCGUGCGGGAUGACGGCCUUCGGGUUGUAAACCGCUUUCAGCAGGGAAGAAGCGAAAGUGACGGUACCUGCAGAAGAAGUACCGGCUAACUACGUGCCAGCAGCCGCCGUAA